rfam:Corchorus capsularis cultivar CVL-1 contig10177, whole genome shotgun sequence.
UUUGUUGCUGCUGCAGCAUCAUCAAGAUUCACAUGCAAAUAUAUGGUACGGCCACCGCGAUUUCUUUGCCGUAGUUUUUUUCUUUGAGCAUGAGAAUCUUGAUGAUGCUGCAUCGGCCAUCAA